rnacentral:rRNA from 1 species
AGUGAACGCUGGCGGUAGGCCUAACACAUGCAAGUCGAACGGCAGCACAGUAAGAGCUUGCUCUUACGGGUGGCGAGUGGCGGACGGGUGAGGAAUACAUCGGAAUCUACUUUUUCGUGGGGGAUAACGUAGGGAAACUUACGCUAAUACCGCAUACGACCUACGGGUGAAAGCAGGGGAUCUUCGGACCUUGCGCGAUUGAAUGAGCCGAUGUCGGAUUAGCUAGUUGGCGGGGUAAAGGCCCACCAAGGCGACGAUCCGUAGCUGGUCUGAGAGGAUGAUCAGCCGCACUGGAACUGAGACACGGUCCAGACUCCUACGGGAGGCAGCAGUGGGGAAUAUUGGACAAUGGGCGCAAGCCUGAUCCAGCCAUACCGCGUGGGUGAAGAAGGCCUUCGGGUUGUAAAGCCCUUUUGUUGGGAAAGAAAAGCAGCAGGUUAAUACCCCGCUAUUCUGACGGUACCCAAAGAAUAAGCACCGGCUAACUUCGUG